rnacentral:lncRNA from 1 species
GCAAUUAAAGGCCUUACAGGUCAGAUUCCAACUUCGAUCUUCAACAUUUCUUCUCUGAAGACCAUUGAUCUCUCCAACAAUAGCCUAUCAGGUAGUUUGCCUAAUGAUAUGUGUCAACAUCUUCCCAAGCUUGAAGGGCUUUACCUGGGUUUGAAUGAAUUAUCUGGUAACGUUCCAUCAAGUAUGGGCAAAUGCAGCAACCUUAAAAUUUUGUGGUUGUCCUCUAAUCAAUUGAUGGGGAUCAUUCCAAAAAGUAUUGGAAAUCUGACACGACUCAAAGAAUUAUAUUUGGGGCUGAAUAACCUAGAAGGUAUUAAAUUUUCUUGGUUUUUGAGUUUAAAGUAUUUUUUUAAUAAAAGAGUUUGAUUAGUAAUAGAUAACAAAAGUAAGAGCAUUUUAUUUCAUUCAAGGCAAAAUAGUUCAAAAUAGUUAAUUUGAUGAAAACAAAUAUGCUUAAAAUAUUAAAAUCUAACAUUUGCAAAUUAUGUAAAACAAAAAAUAAAACCUCUUUGACUUAUGCUAACAAAAUAGGUAGUUUGACACCUUGAUUUUUCGACUAUGUGUGCAGGCCAAAUUCCUGAGGAAAUCGGUAAUCUUCUUGGUUUGGAAAUGCUUAAUAUUCAAGAAAUUAAAGGCCUUACAGGUCAGAUUCCAACUUCGAUCUUCAACAUUUCUUCUCUAAAGACCAUUGAUCUCUCCAACAAUAGCCUAUCAGGUAGUUUGCCUAAUGAUAUGUGUCAACAUCUUCCCAAGCUUGAAGGGCUUUACCUGGGUUUGAAUGAAUUAUCUGGUAACGUUCCAUCAAGUAUGGGCAAAUGCAGCAACCUUAAAAUUUUGUGGUUGUCCUCUAUCAAUUGAUGGGGAUCAUUCCAAAAAGUAUUGGAAACCUGACACGACUCAAAGAAUUAUAUUUGGGGUUGAAUAACCUAGAAGGUAUUAAAUUUUAUUGGUUUCUGAGUUUAAAGUAUUUUUUUAAUAAAAGAGUUUGAUUAGUAAUAGAUAACAAAAGUAAGAGCAUUUUAUUUCAUUCAAGGAAAAAUAGUUCAAAAUAGUUAAUUUGAUGAAAACAAAUAUGCUUAAAAUAUUAAAAUCUAACAUUUGCAAAUUAUGUAAAACAAAAAAGAAAACCUCUUUGACUUAUGCUAACAAAAUAGGUAGUUUGACACCUUGAUUUUUCGACUAUGUGUGCAGGCCAAAUUCCUGAGGAAAUCGGUAAUCUUCUUGGUUUAGAAAUGCUUAAUAUUAAAGCAAUUAAAGGCCUUACAGGUCCGAUUCCAACUUCGAUCUUCAACAUUUCUUCUCUAAAGACCAUUGAUCUCUCCAACAAUAGCCUAUCAGGUAGUUUGCCUAAUGAUAUGUGUCAACAUCUUCCCAAGCUUGAAGGGCUUUACCUGGGUUUGAAUGAAUUAUUUGGUAACAUUCCAUCAAGUAUGGGCAAAUGUUGCAACCUUAAAAUUUUGUGGUUGUCCUCUAAUCAAUUGAUGGGGAUCAUUCCAAAAAGUAUUGGAAAUCUGACACGACUCAAAGAAUUAUAUUUGGGGCUGAAUAACCUAGA